CCUACGGGUGGCAGCAGUGGGGGAUAUUCCACAAUGGGGGAAACCCUGAUGCAGCGACGCCGCGUGGGCGAAGAAGUAUUUCGGUAUGUAAAGCCCUAUCAUCAGGGAAGAAGAAAUGACGGUGCCUGAGUAAGAAGCACCGGCUAAAUACUUGCCAGCAGCCACGGUAAAUUGUAUGGUGCAAGCGUCAUUCGGAUUUACUGGGUGGAAAGGGAGCGCAGGCGGGACGGCAAGCCCGAUGUGAAAGCCCGCGGCCCAACGGCGGGUCUGCAUUGUGAACUACCGGGCUGGAGUGCCGGAGAGGUAGGCGGAAUUCCGAGUGUAGCGGUGAAAUGCGUAGAUAUUAGGAGGAACACCAGUGGCGAAGGCGGCCUACUGGACGGUGACUGACGCUGAGGCUCGAAAGCGUGGGGAGCAAACAGGAUUAGAUACCCGAGUAGUC
rnacentral:rRNA from 1 species